AUCUCCAACAACUCCCUAAAUCCACUUGCUAUUCUAUUUUUUUUGGCAAAAACUCAAAAACACCUCUCCAACAACUCCCUAAAUCCACUUGGUAUUUUCCCAACUUGGAAAAAACCACCCUCCGCGCGCGUAUCUAUCCGCGCGCGUAGAGCGUGCGUAUCGCCCCUGCUCCGUCGCGCGUGCCGCUCCGCCGCCGCGCACCGCCCGCCCGCACGCCAACUCCGGAUGGAUCGCAAGCCAAGAUCCGAUCGAUCCCUCUUCUCCUCGCCGAAGCCUGGUCGGCCGAUCCAUCGCUCUUCUCCUCGCGAAGUCCGGCCGGUCUCUUCCGUACGGUGCCUUCCGUACAUACGGUGCUAGCCGCCUCUUCGGUGCCGGCACUGCAUGAAUGCAUGGCCCAUCGUAGCUCCAUGCAUAUCUCCGUCGCUGAGCGAGACAGAGCCGGACGACGACGACAGCGACUGGAGUGGCCAGUGGCCGCCCGCGCCUUCGCCUGACUGGACAGGGUCGUCCGUCUCCGUCGCUAGCUCCUCGACGUCGACGGACGGGAUGACAGAGAACGCGUUAAGGGUUCAAACUUUUGACGGUGACUUAUCCCGAUGGCUUCGUCUCGUCGAGACGAAGCCAACAGUGGUGGUGGUUUCAUCGGAAACCUUGCCGUCGUCGAAGAAAACAGCCGGCGACGCUCGUUCCUAAGGCGCAGGGACUAAAUACAUGAUAGAUUUUCUUUUUCGGACUUUUCUAAAAAAGUAUCAGACACAAAGAAUUUUAGAUACGCCCUUAGUUGAUUUUGGAAAAGUUUAGAGACUAAUAUGCAAAGUGGUUAUCACGGGAUUUACCAAGUAAGGAUACAAAGUUGUUGGAGAUACACCUUUUUUUUACUUGCAAAAUAAAAUAGCAAGUUGCUAA
rnacentral:lncRNA from 1 species